CCUACGGGUGGCAGCAGUGGGGAAUAUUGCACAAUGGGGGAAACCCUGAUGCAGCGACGCCGCGUGAGUGAAGAAGUAUUUCGGUAUGUAAAGCUCUAUCAGCAGGGGAGUAAAUGACGGUACCUGAUUAAGAAGCCCCGUCUAACUACGUGCCAGCAGCCGCGGUAAUCCGUAGGGGGCAAGCGUUAUCCGGAUUUACUGGGUGUAAAGGGAGCGUAGACGGCAGCACAAGUCGGGAGUGAAAUGCCGGGGAUUAACCCCGGAACUGCUUUGGAAACUGUGCAGCUAGAGUGCAGGAGAGGUAAGUGGAAUGCCUGGUGUAGCGGUGAAAUGCGUAGAUAUUAGGAGGAACACCAGUUGCGAAGGCAGCUUACUGGACGGUAACUGACGUUGAGGCACGAAAGCGUGGGGAGCAAACAGGAUUAGAUACCCGAGUAGUC
rnacentral:rRNA from 1 species